GGGCCCGCACAAGCGGUGGAGCAUGUGGUUUAAUUCGAUGAUACGCGAGGAACCUUACCAGGGCUUAAAUGUAAGUUGCAUUAGUUAGAGAUAGCUAUUUCUUCGGACUACUUACAAGGUGCUGCAUGGUUGUCGUCAGCUCGUGCCGUGAGGUGUCAGGUUAAGUCCUAUAACGAGCGCAACCCCUGUUGUUAGUUGCCAUCGAGUCAUGUCGGGAACUCUAACAAGACUGCCGGUGCAAACCGUGAGGAAGGUGGGGAUGACGUCAAAUCAUCACGGCCCUUACGUCCUGGGCUACACACGUGCUACAAUGGCCGGUACAGAGAGCAGCCACUACGCGAGUAGGCGCGAAUCUUCAAAGCCGGUCUCAGUUCGGAUCGGAGUCUGCAACUCGACGGCAUGAAGUCGGAAUCGCUAG
rnacentral:rRNA from 1 species